rnacentral:tRNA from 1 species
UAAGGUAAAGUACAAAGUACAUUUUAGUUACAUUAAAAAAGUCUGAUAUUAUUAGUACCUUAA